rfam:Ovis aries breed Texel chromosome 2, whole genome shotgun sequence.
UCCCUGGUGGCUCAGAUGGUAAAGCGUCUGCCUGCAAUGCAGAGACCCGGGUUCGACCCCUGGGUCGGGAA